CAAUGCCCUUCGGGGCUCUCUGGUGAUUCAUGAUAACUUCUCGAAUCGCACGGCCUUGCGCCGGCGAUGGUUCAUUCAAAUUUCUUCCCUAUCAACUUUCGAUGUUUGGGUCUUGGCCAAACAUGGUUGCAACGGGUAACGGAGGGUUAGGGCUCGACCCCGGAGAAGGAGCCUGAGAAACGGCUACUACAUCCAAGGAAGGCAGCAGGCGCGCAAAUUACCCAAUCCCGACUCGGGGAGGUAGUGACAAUAAAUACUGAUGCAGGGCUCUUUUGGGUCUUGCAAUUGGAAUGAGUACAAUUUAAAUCCCUUAACGAGGAACAAUUGGAGGGCAAGUCUGGUGCCAGCAGCCGCGGUAAUUCCAGCUCCAAUAGCGUAUAUUAAAGUUGUUGUGGUUAAAAAGCUCGUAGUUGAACCUUGGGCCUGGCUGGCCGGUCCGCCUCACCGCGUGUACUGGUCCGGCCGGGCCUUUCCCUCUGUGGAACCCCAUGCCCUUCACUGGGCGUGGCGGGGAAACAGGACUUUUACUUUGAAAAAAUUAGAGUGCUCCAGGCAGGCCUAUGCUCGAAUACAUUAGCAUGGAAUAAUAAAAUAGGACGUGUGGUUCUAUUUUGUUGGUUUCUAGGACCGCCGUAAUGAUUAAUAGGGACAGUCGGGGGCAUCAGUAUUCAAUUGUCAGAGGUGAAAUUCUUGGAUUUAUUGAAGACUAACUACUGCGAAAGCAUUUGCCAAGGAUGUUUUCAUUAAUCAGGAACGAAAGUUAGGGGAUCGAAGACGAUCAGAUACCGUCGUAGUCUUAACCAUAAACUAUGCCGACUAGGGAUCGGACGAUGUUAUUUUUUGACUCGUUCGGCACCUUACGAGAAAUC
rnacentral:rRNA from 1 species